GCUCGCAUUCGACUGAGUGAACCAGCCCAAACGAUUUUCAUCGGGUUCACUUCGACUGAUGUACCAUCAUUUUCUUCAGUUCCUCUAAACGUUAGCUAACCUUGCCCUGGCGCAAAAUCUACACGUUCACGUUGCGUUAUUCGCCCUUCUAUCAUUCGAACCUUUGUUGCUGCCUUGCCACCUAUUCACAAGUCGAAGCAGGAAAGACCCUCCAAAAACAACGAGGUUACCACCUAUAGCAGAUAAUUCGUACGUUUGGUGGUAACGACCUCACGUCGGCUGUUGUUGCGGUCGUUGCGUUUUGUCCCGUGGCGCCUUUGCGUUCGUAUUGUUCAGACAAUUCGAAUUACAGCGCUCCAUUUCGGACACUACCUGGCAUAUCGGAAAGGAAAAUAAACGCAAUGAUGGAUUUUCUGCCUCGACGUUAAUUUGCGCCAGUAAAUGUAACUUGUCCUAGUAGUGAUGUGUAGUACUACGUCUGCUCACUUUCAACAUGCGAGACGCCAUUAUAUCGGUAGCGCGGUUACGAUUAUACGAGCUUUAACACACACACGAUCGUUUUCUGAGAUCUGGACAAUCUCUACAUACAUAUUCCUAUUGCAAUCGUUGUAGGACCUCGAACUGUCCAUCGGUGCGUUCUGUACAUGGAAUUCUAGUUAGCUUAAAACAAUUGUCUAAAUACUCUGUACAGCGCUAAGGUGUCCUGAACCUCUCGUGAUGAUUCGUUCCCUCACUCGCCGGGUCGACGCACGUCCUUUCUGGGUAGUAGAAAUAAAGGUUCCUUCGCCUGUCGUUCCUUUGCAACUGGAUCAAAUGAAUUCGAAUACGUCUUCAAUUGAUGAGCAUUUGUAGGAAGUUAUUUCAGUGGUUCUACGAUAUACUUGUGCUUUACGUUUCUUAUUCUCUCUGGUACCUGGUGCGUGAUUUCGUUCGGUGCUCGUCGAUAGUCGCCGUUCUCGUUCGCACCGAUGAAGGCAUCAGCUCGAUGGCUGUAUAAUUCAAUGAGUCAAUAAUAAAUUGUUUUUCAAGCCAAGCGAUAUAGAAGAUAAGAUGUAAUAUAAAGGUCAAUUGAAUAUUCUAAAAGAGGGUACGUAAACACACAGACAAAUAGGACAAUCCUAGAGAUGCUCGUUCAUACAGAUCCAUAAUCGACUCUGCUUCAUUCAUCCGUUUAUAAGCGAAAAUUCUAAAUCUAUCACAUUUGACAAAUCGAUCGACCUCUUCUGUUGCUGUGCACGCUCCUUUGCUUAGCCUAGUUUUUAUAUAAUUUAUGCAGAUCGCUUUUGAGUGAGCGUGUAUCGAAUA